rnacentral:lncRNA from 1 species
CUCAACCCUCCAGGUGGAAUAUCUUGUCCACCUGGUUGUCUGGGGAGUUCAUAAACUGCCAUAAGUAUGGCAGAGGGGACUCGCCACUGGAAGCAGGAGACUUCUCCCACCUGGGUGUAGGGGGGACUUCCUGUACCACUGCAGCCAUGGUAAUGGGUACUCACCUCUCCAGGACAGAGACUCUCCCACCUGGGUGUCAGGGGGAGAUCCUUUACUGCAGCAUCCAGGGUGGAGGGGACUUGCCCUUGAAAUUGAGAGACCCAUCCAAAAUGGGAGUCAGGGAAAGCUAGUAAACCACUGAAGCCUGGGUAAAAGGGACGCACCCCUCAGGCAGGAGACCCUUCCCAUCUGUUUAUGGGGGGAAGCUUGUAUACCACAGCAGCCAGAACAGAGGGGACUCACCCCUCCAAGCAGGAGAACCCUCCCACUUGGUUUUCUGGGAGAACUGAUACAACUCCUCAGCUAGGGUAGAGGGAAGUCACCCCUCUAGGAGGGAGACCUCUCCCACCUGGAUGUCAUGGGAAGCUCCUUAACCCCUUCAACCAGGGUAAAGAGGACUCACCCCUCCAGGUGGAAGUCCCCUCCCACCUAUGUGUCAGGUGGAGCUCAUUUACCCCAGCAGCCAGGGUAGAGGCAACUCCCACCUCCAGCCGAGAAACACCUCUCACCUGGGAAUGGGAGUAACUCCUACACCCUCUUAGCUUGGGUAGAAGGGACUCGCCCCUCCAAGCGGAAGACCUCUCCCACCUGGGUGUCUGAUUGAGCUCCUAUACCUCCACAGCCAGGGUAGUGGGGACUUGCCCCUCCUAUUGGGACACCCUACCUCCUGGGUGUUCCAGGGAACUUGAUUACUGCAGCAGCUAGGUAGAUGGGACUCACCCCUACAGGUGGGAGACCCCUCCAACCUGUGUGUAGUGGAAGCUCCUAUAUGGCAAGAGCUAAAGUAGAGGGGACUCACCCUUCCAUGUGGGAUACCACUUCCACCUGGGUGUCUGGGAAAGCUUGUAUACCCCUGAAGCCAGUGUAGAGGAGACUCACCUCUCCAUUCGGGAGAUCUCAUAUCCUGGGAGUUGAGGAGAUCCUAUACAGCCAGAGCCAAGGGAGUUGGGACUGGACUCUCCAGACGGAAGACCCUUUCCACCUGGUUGCCAACAGAGUUCAUAUACUGCCAUAGCAGGAUAGAGGGGACUUGCCAUUCGAGGUGGUAGACCCCUCACACCUGGGUGUAGG